AUUGAACGCUGGCGGCAUGCUUUACACAUGCAAGUCGAACGGCAGCACGAGUGCUUGCACUUGGUGGCGAGUGGCGAACGGGUGAGUAAUACAUCGGAACGUGUCUUAAAAGUGGGGGAUAACGCAUCGAAAGAAUGUGCUAAUACCGCAUAAUCUCUAAGGAGAAAGUAGGGGAGUCGUAAGACCUUACGCUUUGGUAGCGGCCGAUGUCUGAUUAGCUAGUUGGUGAGGUAAAGGACUCACCAAGGCGACGAUCUGUAGCGGGUCUGAGAGGAUGAUCCGCCACACUGGAACUGAGACACGGUCCAGACUCCUACGGGAGGCAGCAGUGAGGAAUAUUGCGCAAUGGCCGAAAGGCUGACGCAGCGACGCCGCGUGAGGGAUGAAGGCCCUCGGGUUGUAAACUGCUUUUGUACGGAACGAAAAGGCUCUCUCUAAUACAGGGGGCUCAUGACGGUACCGUAAGAAUAAGCACCGGCUAACUACGUG
rnacentral:rRNA from 1 species